GCUCGCGGCCUAUCAGCUUGUUGGUGGGGUGAUGGCCUACCAAGGCGACGACGGGUAGCCGGCCUGAGAGGGCGACCGGCCACACUGGGACUGAGACACGGCCCAGACUCCUACGGGAGGCAGCAGUGGGGAAUAUUGCACAAUGGGCGCAAGCCUGAUGCAGCGACGCCGCGUGGGGGAUGACGGCCUUCGGGUUGUAAACCUCUUUCGUCAGGGAAGAAGCCUUUUUGGGGUGACGGUACCUGGAGAAGAAGCACCGGCUAACUACGUGCCAGCAGCCGCGGUAAUACGUAGGGUGCGAGCGUUGUCCGGAAUUAUUGGGCGUAAAGAGCUUGUAGGCGGUUUGUCGCGUCUGCGGUGAAAACCCGGGGCUUAACCUUGGGCGUGCCGUGGGUACGGGCAGGCUAGAGUGUGGUAGGGGAGACUGGAAUUCCUGGUGUAGCGGUGAAAUGCGCAGAUAUCAGGAGGAACACCGAUGGCGAAGGCAGGUCUCUGGGCCAUAACUGACGCUGAGAAGCGAAAGCAUGGGGAGCGAACAGGAUUAGAUACCCUGGUAGUCCAUGCCGUAAACGUUGGGCGCUAGGUGUGGGGCUCAUUCCACGAGUUCUGUGCCGCAGCUAACGCAUAAGCGCCC
rnacentral:rRNA from 1 species